rnacentral:rRNA from 1 species
GACGAACGCUGGCGGCGUGCUUAACACAUGCAAGUCGAACGGAAAGGCCCUGCUUUUGUGGGGUGCUCGAGUGGCGAACGGGUGAGUAACACGUGAGUAACCUGCCCUUGACUUUGGGAUAACUUCAGGAAACUGGGGCUAAUACCGGAUAGGAGCUCCUGCUGCAUGGUGGGGGUUGGAAAGUUUCGGCGGUUGGGGAUGGACUCGCGGCUUAUCAGCUUGUUGGUGGGGUAGUGGCUUACCAAGGCUUUGACGGGUAGCCGGCCUGGGAGGGUGACCGGCCACAUUGGGACUGAGAUACGGCCCAGACUCCUACGGGCGGCAGCGGUGGGGAAUAUUGCACAAUGGGCGGAAGCCUGAUGCAGCAACGCCGCGUGCGGGAUGACGGCCUUCGGGUUGUAAACCGCUUUCGCAUGUGACGAAGCGUGAGUGACGGUAAUGGGUAAAGAAGCACCGGCUAACUACGUG